CUACGGGAUGCUGCAGUGGGGAAUAUUGCACAAUGGAGGAAACUCUGAUGCAGCAACGCCGCGUGGAGGAUGACACUUUUCGGAGCGUAAACUCCUUUUAUAUAGGAAGAAGAUGACGGUACUAUAUGAAUAAGCGCCGGCUAACUCCGUGCCAGCAGCCGCGGUAAUACGGAGGGCGCAAGCGUUACUCGGAAUCACUGGGCGUAAAGAGCGUGUAGGCGGAUUAAAAAGUCAGAAGUGAAAUCCUAUAGCUUAACUAUAGAACUGCUUCUGAAACUCUUAAUCUAGAAUAUGGGAGAGGUAGAUGGAAUUUCUGGUGUAGGGGUAAAAUCCGUAGAGAUAAGAAGGAAUACCGAUUGCGAAGGCGAUCUACUAGAACAUUAUCGACGCUGAGACGCGAAAGCGUGGGGAGCAAACAGGAUUAGAUACCCCCGUAGUC
rnacentral:rRNA from 1 species